UGAACGCUGGCGGCGUGCCUAAUACAUGCAAGUCGAGCGAACAGACGAGGAGCUUGCUCCUCUGACGUUAGCGGCGGACGGGUGAGUAACACGUGGAUAACCUACCUAUAAGACUGGGAUAACUUCGGGAAACCGGAGCUAAUACCGGAUAAUAUAUUGAACCGCAUGGUUCAAUAGUGAAAGACGGUUUUGCUGUCACUUAUAGAUGGAUCCGCGCCGCAUUAGCUAGUUGGUAAGGUAACGGCUUACCAAGGCAACGAUGCGUAGCCGACCUGAGAGGGUGAUCGGCCACACUGGAACUGAGACACGGUCCAGACUCCUACGGGAGGCAGCAGUAGGGAAUCUUCCGCAAUGGGCGAAAGCCUGACGGAGCAACGCCGCGUGAGUGAUGAAGGUCUUCGUAUCGUAAAACUCUGUUAUUAGGGAAGAACAAAUGUGUAAGUAACUAUGCACGUCUUGACGGUACCUAAUCAGAAAGCCACGGCUAACUACGUG
rnacentral:rRNA from 1 species